GCCCUAGUAACGGCGAGUGAAGCGGCAACAGCUCAAAUUUGAAAUCUGGCUCUUUCAGGGUCCGAGUUGUAAUUUGUAGAGGGUGCUUUGGAGUUGACUGUGGUCUAAGUUCCUUGGAACAGGACGUCGCAGAGGGUGAGAAUCCCGUAUGUGGCCGCCAGUCUUCGCCGUGUAAAGCCCCUUCGACGAGUCGAGUUGUUUGGGAAUGCAGCUCUAAAUGGGAGGUAAAUUUCUUCUAAAGCUAAAUAUUGGCCAGAGACCGAUAGCGCACAAGUAGAGUGAUCGAAAGAUGAAAAGCACUUUGGAAAGAGAGUCAAAAAGCACGUGAAAUUGUUGAAAGGGAAGCGCUUGCAGCCAGACUUGCCUGUAGUUGCUCAUCCGGGCUUUUGCCCGGUGCACUCUUCUAUAGGCAGGCCAGCAUCAGUCCUGGCGGUCGGAUAAUGCCUGCUGAAUGUACCUCUCCUCGGGGAGGACUUAUAGCGGUGGGCGGCAUACGACCAGCCGGGAUUGAGGUCCGCGCAUCUGCUAGGAUGCUGGCGUAAUGGCUGUAAGCGGCCCGUCUUGAAACACGGACCAAGGAGUCUAACAUCUAUGCGAGUGUGUUUGGGGUGUCAAGCCCGAGCGCGUAAUGAAAGUGAACCGGAAGGU
rnacentral:rRNA from 1 species